ACAAAUUUAAUCAGAAUUAGCUCCGCCGGUAAUGCCGAUUAACGCCGCCGUCAAUCUAGGCUAUGACACUGUAGUCAUUGUUCGUGAUUACAAUUUGAACAAAGUUGCCGCUCGACAGCUGGUUUUACAUUACUGUAACGAAUAAAAUUUAGUUCUGGUCACUCCAGCAGCAUUUUUCAAAAUUUAUGCUGUUAUAGCAACAACAAUAAUCAUUUGGUCAGAAACUCGUCCGAUAUAGGUAGUUCCACAACCACCACAUCUGCCUAAUUUGACUCCUUUGAGACUUCUGGCUAUUCAAUAAACAACAUACAAAUAGUAUGGGAUUCAGUAUGUUUUGAGACAUCAGAAGAAUGUUGGCUAGUGGAUGCGCCUCGUCAGCUAAUGGGAAAUCUCCCAGCGUAUUUCUGCCAUGAAAAAGCUCCUCAUAAAAACCAUUCGCCUUUCGGAGUCGGCUUAAAACUGUAGCUCCCUCUAUUUGUGGAAAAAGAUCAAGACGAGAGCCAGAAAAUAGCAGGAAAAGCUCCGCUCAACUCCUAAUAGAAGUGUUCGCGCCAAUUUAUUUAUUUUAACUAAAGAAUAAAUAAAACAAAAAAUAAAUCACAUUUACUCGUAUGACCCAGUAGAAAAACUUAAAAAUUUAUACUAGCACAAAGUGCAUAAACAUCAAAAAUAUCCAAAACAUUUAUUUUAUUAAUUGUAUCACUCUUAUAUUCUCUUACAAAUAAAUCCAACUACGAUUACAUUGGCAGCUCUCCAUUUCGUAAUUUAUUUUCUGAUAUCUCUUCAUUAAUUUCAUUAUACUUUGACCGUUAAUCACUUGCAAUCUAAUUGCUCCGGCUCUCUUCUAUUCGCUUCAAGUCGCUCUUUAACAUAGUUACCAAACGAUUCAACACCCACUUUAUUAUUCACCCUGUAGUAAGGCAAUAGCCUCAAACGUCUCAACCAUGCGGCGAGAUUUGGGAAUCUAUUCCCAUCCACUGGCGCAAAGAUCUCUGCACUGGUGACAGACGCUAGUGCACACAAAUCGGCGAUAGUCAUUAACCCACCACACAUAUACUGCGAGAUAGUUUUAUCUAAACCAUCAUAA